UACGUAGGGGGCUAGCGUUGCUCGGAAUCACUGGGCGUAAAGGGUGCGUAGGCGGGUUUUUAAGUCAGGGGUGAAAUCCUGGAGCUCAACUCCAGAACUGCCUUUGAUACUGAAGAUCUUGAGUCCGGGAGAGGUGAGUGGAACUGCGAGUGUAGAGGUGAAAUUCGUAGAUAUUCGCAAGAACACCAGUGGCGAAGGCGGCUCACUGGCCCGAUACUGACGCUGAGGCGCGAAAGCUAGGGGAGCAAACGGG
rnacentral:rRNA from 1 species